UACGUAGGGGGCUAGCGUUGCUCGGAAUUACUGGGCGUAAAGGGCGCGUAGGCGGCCAUGUAAGUUAGAGGUGAAAGCCCAGGGCUCAACCUGGGAAUUGCAUUUGAGACUGCGUAGCUAGGGUGCGGAAGAGGGAAGCGGAAUUUCCGGUGUAGCGGUGAAAUGCGUAGAUAUCGGAAGGAACACCAGUGGCGAAAGCGGCUUCCUGGUCCAGCACCGACGUUCAGGCACGAAAGCGUGGGGAGCAAACAGG
rnacentral:rRNA from 1 species